rnacentral:lncRNA from 1 species
CCGAAAGGUUUGGACUGCGUCUCCCGGCAGGCCGCGCGCCUGGGCGGGCGGGGCACGUGGUCGUUGUCGCGUCGCGCCCUCCCUGCCUCGCCCUCGCGGGUCUUCUGCGUUUGCUGGCGCCUGCCAGGCGUCGUCUCCGACGUUACGGCGGCCGCGCGGCCCUCUCCCUUGGGCUCUGCCCUGCGCAGCCCUGGUUCGAGCGGGCCAGUGAGGCCCGGCGCCCUCCCCGCCUCGCCACGAGGAUCCACCGCGGCCGCCCAGGCUUCUAGCCUUGUCGUCACGGCACGGAGAUAAGCCCGCGCUGGCCACAUCGCGAAGCCCCUUGCACCGCAGGGAUCCCCACCUGUCCGGUGAGGAAGAUUUGUCCCUCCUGCAUACUGUGUCCACCCUUACAGGCCCUCACUCUCCAUGAUGGCUCAGCACAGGAGAAAGUGGGCUUCCUGCAAGCGGAGCUGUGCCCAGGACCAUGCCAGCCCACGGCAGGCGCUCAGUAAUGUUUGUUGAAUGAAUGUGUAAAUGCAUGAAGAUAAUAUAUGUAUUUAAUGCAUGUAAAUAGAUGCCUGCUGCAUCUCUGGCCUUCGUGUGGUCAGUAAUCGCUGCACUUUUCCGAAGUGCCUAGAAGAGGCUGGGAGCAGUGGCUCACACCUGUAAUCCCAGCACUUUGGGAGGCUGAGGCAGGCAGAUCACUUGAGGUUGGGAGUUCGGGGCCAGCCUAGCCAACAUGGUGAAACUUCAUCUCUACUAAAAAUACAAAAAUUAGCCAGGCAUGGUAGUGCGUGCCUGUAGUCCCAGCUACUAGGGAGGCUGAGUCAGGAGAAUCGCUUGAACCUGGGAGUUGGAGGUUGCUGUGAGUCAAGAUCAUGCCACAGUACUCCAGCCUGGGAGACCGAGCAAGGCUCUGCCUCAAAAAACAAAUUAAUAAAAGUGCCUAGAAGAGUUUUUCAGCCUUUGC